GUACAACUCUGAGCGGUGGAUCACUCGGCUCGUGUGUCGAUGAAGAGUGCAGCCAACUGUGUGAAUUAAUGUGAACUGCGUACUGCUUUGAACAUCGACAUCUUGAACGCAUAUUGCGGCCGCGGGAUAUCCCGUGGCCACGUCUG
rnacentral:rRNA from 1 species